rnacentral:rRNA from 1 species
AUUGAACGCUGGCGGCAGGCCUAACACAUGCAAGUCGGACGGUAGCACAGAGGAGCUUGCUCCUCGGGUGACGAGUGGCGGACGGGUGAGUAAUGUCUGGGGAUCUGCCCGAUAGAGGGGGAUUACCACUGGAAACGGUGGCUAAUACCGCAUAACGUCGCAAGACCAAAGAGGGGGACCUUCGGGCCUCUCACUAUCGGAUGAACCCAGAUGGGAUUAGCUAGUAGGCGGGGUAACGGCCCACCUAGGCGACGAUCCCUAGCUGGUCUGGGAGGAUGACCAGCCACACUGGAACUGAGACACGGUCCAGACUCCUACGGGAGGCAGCAGUGGGGAAUAUUGCACAAUGGGCGCAAGCCUGAUGCAGCCAUGCCGCGUGUAUGAAGAAGGCCUUCGGGUUGUAAAGUACUUUCGGCGGGGAGGAAGGCGAUGUGGUUAAUAACCGCGUCGAUUGACGUUACCCGCAGAAGAAGCACCGGCUAACUCCGUGCCAGCAGCCGCGGUAA